GGAAGUACUACCUAAAUUGAGUGGAUUGCUGAAGGUCACAAACUUAACAUAUGAGUUUGACAACAAAAUGGUUCUAGCAACAAAACCACAAUAAAAAAGUAAGACUAAAACUAUUUUUAUAUCAUAAAGGCAAAAUUUACAGGCAGAAUAUAAGGACCACAUUAUUUAAAAAAAUAAUGAAAAUUGCACACACCAGAUAAUAAGAAGACAUCUAUCUCCAAAUAUUAUCCACAAGAAAACUACAACAAUGUAAUGAAGCAAACUGCGGACUCACGAAGGCACAAAAAUUAGAAAUUUACUCCAUCAGCCUAGUAUUCAUUCAUCAUGUGAAAUAAUUGAAAUCUGCUCUAGUGGAAGUAUAUUUUAGCUUGUCAGUUAAACAGCUGCAAAGAUGAUCAACAUUCACAGGCAUCCAUUCGAUUGUGGGACUGCUGGUAUGGUUUACCACAAAAGCAUUCUUAAAAAAUUAAAUAAAAGAUCAAAAUAAUUAACAAAAAGCUAACACCUAUGAGCUUAGUAAUAACUACUAUUAAGAUAUAAAAGAAUCAAAAUUUUACGAUCCCUCGUGUUCCUUUACGAAUCUCUCAUUUAGUUAAUGCUAAUAACCUACUCCAAUAAUUGGAGUAUUUACUUGGCAAUCCUUUGAAAUUUCUUCAUUUUGGUGAAAACCGAAGAGGAAACCACCAUCAAAAGUCCAUGAAAGACAAUGUGGUUGGACAAAAAUGAUAAUUACUUUACAGGA
rnacentral:misc_RNA from 1 species